AAAUAAUGCAUAAUUACAUGAAACUAUGCUCAACAUUUCAACAUUAAAUCACUACCAUUCAUGCACGAAAUUCAACACUCAGGAACUGUGCAGCUCGCCUCGCGAGCACAUCUGCUCGCCAUGGCGAGUUCACAAAACUACUUGCUCGCCAUGGCGAGUUCAAGGCGAACUCGAGGCGAGUGAAAAUUAGGUGCUCUCGGGAAAA
rnacentral:lncRNA from 1 species